rnacentral:rRNA from 1 species
GACGAACGCUGGCGGCGUGCUUAACACAUGCAAGUCGAACGGAAAGGCCCCUUUGGGGGUACUCGAGUGGCGAACGGGUGAGUAACACGUGAGUAACCUGCCCUUGACUUCGGGAUAACUUCAGGAAACUGGGGCUAAUACCGGAUAGGAAUCCUUGCUGCAUGGUGGGGGUUGGAAAGCUUCGGCGGUUUUGGAUGGACUCGCGGCUUAUCAGCUUGUUGGUGGGGUAGUGGCUUACCAAGGCUUUGACGGGUAGCCGGCCUGAGAGGGCGACCGGCCACAUUGGGACUGAGAUACGGCCCAGACUCCUACGGGAGGCAGCAGUGGGGAAUAUUGCACAAUGGGCGGAAGCCUGAUGCAGCAACGCCGCGUGCGGGAUGACGGCCUUCGGGUUGUAAACCGCUUUCAGCAGGGGCGAAGCUUUUGUGACGGUACCUGAAGAAGAAGCACCGGCUAACUACGUG